rnacentral:rRNA from 1 species
UUGAAUUGAAGAGUUUGAUCAUGGCUCAGAUUGAACGCUGGCGGCAGGCUUAACACAUGCAAGUCGAACGGUAG